rnacentral:lncRNA from 1 species
GGACUUGGGGCAGUGUCCAGAGGGCUGGCGUGUGACCUGCAGAAGAGGAGGACAUGGUUGGGUGGCAGGCCUGGGCUCUGAAGACUGGUGCGCCAUCAGGCUGCUGAAGGCCUUAGGAAGUCCCCUUGGACUGGCAGAUGGCCCAUUCUUGAAGCAGCAGCUGUGGGGCAGCCAUGGGUUCCAGGUGGUGCUGAAAGCAGGAGCAGUGGGGCAUGGCUAUAGCCCUGCAAGUCCUGCGUCACUUCGCCCGGGCCCCCUCGCGCCCACUCCUCUGGGGGUGCCCAUUGACCCGGCUGGCCAGUGGCAUGGCCCUGGAAGAGCAGGCACGGCAAAUAUUUGAGAGCACCGUGGGUGCCAUGCUGCCAGGUCCCAUGCUGCAGCGGGCACUGUCCUUGGAUCCUGACAGUGGGCAGCUGAAAGUGCGGGACCGGAGCUUUCAGCUGCGGCAGAACCUCUACCUGGUGGGCUUUGGCAAGGCUGUGCUGGGCAUGGCAGCUGCAGCUGAGGAGCUACUAGGCCAGCAUCUCGUGCAGGGAGUGAUCAGCGUGCCCAGGGGGAUCCGUGCUGCCAUGGAGCAUGCUGGCAAACAAGAGAUGCUGCUGAAGCCCCACAGCCGUGUCCAGGUAUUCGAGGGUGCGGAGGACAACCUCCCGGACCGGGAUGCACUGCGGGCCGCGCUGGCCAUCCGACAGCUGGCCGAAGGCCUCACAGCUGAUGACCUGCUGCUUGUACUCAUCUCAGGUGGGGGAUCGGCCCUGCUGCCCGCCCCCAUCCCGCCUGUCACACUGGAGGAGAAGCAGAAACUAACCAAGCUGCUGGCAGCCCGUGGAGCCAACAUCCAGGAGCUGAACACCAUCCGGAAGGCCUUGUCCCAGCUCAAGGGUGGGGGGCUGGCUCAGGCUGCCUACCCUGCUCAGGUGGUGAGCCUGAUUCUGUCCGAUGUGGUGGGAGACCCUGUGGAGGUGAUUGCCAGCGGCCCCACUGUGGCCAGCGUCCACAGUGUGCAAGAUUGCCUGCACAUCCUCAAUCGUUAUGGCCUUCGUGCUGCUCUGCCACGUUCUGUGAAAACUGUGCUGGCUCGGGCUGACUCUGACCCCCAUGGACCACAUGCCUGUGGUCAUGUCCUCAAUGUGAUCAUUGGCUCCAAUGCACUGGCACUGGCUGAAGCUCAGAAGCAGGCUGAGGCACUGGGUUAUAAGGCUGUGGUGCUGAGCACAGCCAUACAGGGUGAUGUGAAAAAUGUGGCCCAGUUCUAUGGGCUGCUGGCCCGAGUGGCUGGAGCCUGCCUCACCAUGCCUGCGGCUGGAACCUCUGUAGAGGAGGAUAAACAACUCUAUGAACUGGCGGCCCAGCUCCAGCUCCCAGAUUUGCAGCUGAAGGAGGCCCUGGAAGCUGUGGUGGGAGCUCAGGGGCCAGUUUGCUUGCUGGCUGGUGGUGAGCCCACAGUGCAGUUGCAGGGCUCAGGCAAGGGUGGCCGGAACCAGGAACUGGCCCUGCGUGUUGGAGUGGAGCUGGGACAGUGGCCAUUAGAGCCUAUUGAUGUGCUGUUUUUGAGUGGUGGCACUGAUGGGCAGGAUGGGCCCACAGAGGCAGCUGGGGCCUGGGUUAGGCCUGAGCUUGCCAGACAGGCCGUUGCCGAGGGUCUGGAUGUGGCUGCCUUCCUGGCCCACAAUGACUCAUAUACCUUCUUCUGCCGCUUCCAGGGUGGGGCACAUCUGCUGCACACGGGGCUGACGGGCACUAAUGUCAUGGAUGCCCACCUCCUGUUCCUGCGGCCUCGGUGAGGCAUAGGUCACAUUUUAGGAACCUACAGGAGGUCUGCGGGGCGGCAUCCUAGAACAGACCAGGGUUUGUCCCCAGGGCCUCACCAAGCUUUACAGCCUCUCUUCACCUUGGUGCUGGCUGCUUGGUUGCCCUCACCUCCCAGACCCAGGGCCUGUGUGUCUUAUUUCCCAACCAGAAGGCAGAUGGGGACUCUCGUCCACUCCUACUUUCAGCCAUGGCAGCAGGUAUCCCUGAGGACCAAGCCCUGGGCCAGUUUGCUGUUCCCAGUCUUCUCCCCCAGGCAGCCCCCUGCUCAGCUCCUGCCCCCGUUUCUUCUGUGGUGUGAAGCAAGGAGGACUGAAAAUAAAAAGGACCACACCAAAAAAAAAAAAAAAAAAAAAAAAAAAAAAAAA